GCCUUCUUGGUGUAGCGGCUAGCACGCUCGACGCGUAACCGAGAGGUCCGUGGUUCGAUUCCUGGCGAAGGCG
rnacentral:tRNA from 1 species